UACAUAGGUCUCAAGCGUUGUUCGGAUUCAUUGGGCGUAAAGGGUGCGUAGGUGGCGCUGUAAGUCGGGUGUGAAAUUUCGGAGCUUAACUCCGAAACUGCAUUCGAUACUGCGGUGCUUGAGGACUGGAGAGGAGACUGGAAUUCAUGGUGUAGCAGUGAAAUGCGUAGAGAUCAUGAGGAAGACCAGUGGCGAAGGCGGGUCUCUGGACAGUUCCUGACACUGAGGCACGAAGGCCAGGGGAGCAAACGGG
rnacentral:rRNA from 1 species